CCCUUAGAUGUUCUGGGCGGCCCGCGCACUACAAUGGUGUGUGCAGCGAGUGCCGAAGUAGAGUUUUCCGAGGUAUUCUUGCAAUGCUCGUUUUGAUGGGGAUAGACCCUUGCAACUGUUGGUUUUGAACGAGGAAUUCCUUGUAAGCAUGGUUUAUCAUCCGACGCUGAAUGCGUCCCUGCCCUUUGUACACACCGCCCGUCGCUCCUACCGAUGAGUCGUCCGGUGAAGUUCGUAGACCUCGUGAUCGCGGAUCACUGGGGGAAGCAAAAUGAACCUCGCGGUUUAGAGGAAGGAGAAGUCGUAACA
rnacentral:rRNA from 1 species